rnacentral:miRNA from 8 species
CUGCGCAAGCUACUCCCUUGC